rnacentral:misc_RNA from 1 species
GAUGAAGAACGUAGCGAAAUGCGAUAAGUAAUGUGAAUUGCAGAAUUCAGUGAAUCAUCGAAUCUUUGAACGCACCUUGCGCCCUUUGGCUAUUCCGAAGGGCAUGCCUGUUUGAGUAUCAUGAACACCUCAACUCUCUUGGUUUGCCAUGAUGAGCUUGGACUCUGGGGGUCUUGCUGGCCUAUGGUCAGCUCCUCUCAAAUAAAUCAGCUUGCCAGUGUUUGGUGGCAUCACAGGUGUGAUAACUAUCUACGCUUGUGGUUUUCCAUCAGGUAACCUUCAGUGAUGGAGGUUCGCUGGAGCUCAUAAAUGUCCCUCCUCAGCGAGGACAGCUUUUUGAACGUUUGAUCUCAAAUCAGGUAGGACUACCCGCUGAACUUAAGCAUAUCAAUAAGCGGAGGA